CAGAGCCAUGCCAUUGCUGGGGCCAUUGCCAUGCCCACCCAUGCCACUGGGCACAUGCCCACAGGGGCAAAGCUGUGCCCAGAGCCAGCAGCCAGGGCACCGCCCAGAGAGCCGGAGACGGGAGAGGCCAGGCCAGCUCCUUGCAGAAACCCAGGAACAAGCUCUUGACGCAGCCCAGAGAGGGGGCAACUCCUCAGACUGGCCUCGAGGGGGCGCGCAAUCUCUCCCUAGCCCAGCCAAGGUCACGGGGAAGGACCCAAUGUGAGUGGGGCUGGGGAUGCAGCUGCCUCCUGCCAUGGGGCAAUGAAGGGAGCACCCCUCCCUUGGCAGCUGUGCCCCACCUGGGCAGAGGCACUUACUGAGGGGAGCCGCAGAGCAAGUGGGGGGGGGCAUUCACCAUAGAUAAGUGGACUCACCCCCCUGGCAGUGUCAGCCUGUGCCCACUGGGAGCUGCCCCGUCAGCAGCCCCUGGCGAUCAGCCUGGUGCCUAGCAGGACCCCCCCCUCAGCACACCCCAGCGGUGUCAGCCUAGUGCCCGCCGGGUCCCUUCCAUCAGCACCCCCUGACGGUCAGCAUGGUGCCUGGCAGGCCCUCGCCAUCAACUCCCCCUAACAGUUCCAGCCCAGUGCCCGCCGGGACACACACACACGCUGUGUGAGGGCGGCUGGCUGCACUGCAGGGCAGGAGUUUAUUUAAAGCUCCUGCCGGCACUUUCAGGAUGUUGGCUAAGCGCCCAUGUAAUCAGCACAGCCCCGGCCCCCCUCCAGGCACACGCUGCUCCCGGGCAGCUCCUGCAGCGGAGAGGGAGGUGGGGGGCAGCCUGGUGCUUCUGCUGGUGUCCGACCCGGAGUUGGUUCUGGGGAACAGCACCGCUGGUGUCAGCUCUGGGCCCCACAACUGCUCCGGGGCCCUGCCGUGAGCUGGCAGCUGUCCCAGAGCACGGCCCAGCUCCAGGCGGGAAGAUGCGCCCGGCACAAUUGCAACACUUCCUUCCUUGGAGGCUCCUGCCACGGCGCUGAGCCUGGGGGCCGGGACCUGUGAAUCCCACUGCCGGGAAAAUGCAGCCAGCUGACGGGGGGCUGGCUUAGGGGGAUCUUUCCAGAGGCAGGUGUCCCAGAUCCAUUCCCAGGGCAGCGCCAGGCCAGUCCCGACAGGGGCAGAGCAGUCCAGCCCCUGGCAAUGCCAGGCCAGCAGCCCUGUCUUCAGCCACUCCUGCUGGCUGCCCCGCCCUGGCCGGCUGCAGGAAACAGCUCGCAGCCACACUUCACAGGCGAUCCGUCGCCUCCCAGCCCUGAGCCCGGAUGCCAUCAGCGGAAGAUGGAAAGAAGAGCCGCGCCAGGAGCGUGAUAACCCCCCUUCACCCCAAGAGUGAUGCAGGCGGCCGUGGCAAAGUCCAGCGCCAGGCAGAGCCACGGACGUGGGCAUUUCUAUCUCCCCCCAUCCCCAUCCUGGGAAGCGGGUUGUGACUCCGGGUUCAGGAAAGUGCUGCUGGGAGCAUGGAGGAAGGGGAGGUGUCUUGUGACGUUAUCAACAUAUGCUGGGACCGUAUAGAUCAUUGUUGCAAUCAAAGUCCUGUAGUGGCACCAAAUCUUGUAUAAAGGGGGUCAAAUGAGGUGUCUAAGACGAGGUUAUGGUUUGCUGAUUAUGAUUAUGCUGUCUAUAUGUGUGUAUCAUUUUUGUAGUUAAAGUUAUGAAUAUUGGCUCUAUACUGUCUGUAUUUCAAACUUGUGCUAUGCUUCUGGGGAGCACUCCAGACAAGCUGGUGUCAGCUCUGCCUAGCCUGCUUGAUGGCCCAUUAAGGACCAUCAGCUACACAAUCAAUGAUGGAGUGAGCUGUAGCUCACAAAAGCUUAUGCUCAAAUAAAUUGGUUGGUCUCUAAGGUGCCACAAGUCCUCCUUUUCUUUUUGCGAAUACAGACUAACACAGCUGUUACUCUGAAAACAAUCAACCCAUUGAGAGAAGGCAGACGCCUUAGGACUCAGCAAGGUGUGCAGGGACCUGCCUAUGGACAGAACUCGGAGGUUUUUCCAGGCCACAGCUUGUCUUUGGGACAAAGAAAGAAAGACCACAUGGCAAGAGAAUAUUAAAAGCUGCUGCAGCUCCUCCAUCUGGUCUUCAGUCCUGCUUCAUCCCCCUGGAGGGACUUUGCUACACUGAAGCUUUGAACCAAGGACUGAAUGACCCAUCCCAGCUGUGGAUGUUCUCCAGAGACUUGAUUUGAACCUGCAGUAUAUUCGAUCGCUGCCGCAAGCCUGAACCAAGAACUUGGCCAUGACUGUAUGUCAUUGAUUCCAUUUCACCAAUUCUAGCUCUCAUCUAUAGCUUUUUCCUUUUAUGAACAAACCUUUAGAUUUUGGAUUCUAAAGGAUUGGCAACAGCAUGAUUUGUGGGUAAGAUCUGAUUUGCAUAUUGACCUGGGUCUGGGGCUUGGUGCUGUGGGAUCAAGAGAACCUUUUUUCUUUUACUGGG